rnacentral:rRNA from 1 species
GAUGAACGCUGGCGGCGUGCUUAACACAUGCAAGUCGAACGAUGAAGCCCAGCUUGCUGGGUGGAUUAGUGGCGAACGGGUGAGUAACACGUGAGUAACCUGCCCUUAACUCUGGGAUAAGCCUGGUAAACUGGGUCUAAUACCGGAUAGGAGCGUCCACCGCAUGGUGGGUGUUGGAAAGAUUUAUCGGUUUUGGAUGGACUCGCGGCCUAUCAGCUUGUUGGUGAGGUAAUGGCUCACCAAGGCGACGACGGGUAGCCGGCCUGAGAGGGUGACCGGCCACACUGGGACUGAGACACGGCCCAGACUCCUACGGGAGGCAGCAGUGGGGAAUAUUGCACAAUGGGCGAAAGCCUGAUGCAGCGACGCCGCGUGAGGGAUGACGGCCUUCGGGUUGUAAACCUCUUUCAGUAGGGAAGAAGCGAAAGUGACGGUACCUGCAGAAGAAGCACCGGCUAACUACGUG